GACAGAGGUCGCAAGCGUUGUUCGGAUUUACUGGGCGUAAAGGGCGUGUAGGCGGAUGUGCAAGUCGGGGGUGAAAGGCCAGGGCUCAACCCGGGACGGUCUCCCGAAACUGCGCAUCUCGAGAAAGUCAGAGGCAGGUGGAAUUCCAGGUGUAGAGGUGAAAUUCGUAGAGAUCUGGAGGAACACCGGCGGCGAAGGCGGACUGCUGGGGCUUUUCUGACGCUGAGGCGCGAAAGAGUGGGGAGCAAACAGG
rnacentral:rRNA from 1 species